rnacentral:rRNA from 1 species
UACGGGGGGUGCGAGCGUUGUCCGGAUUUAUUGGGCGUAAAGAGCGUGUAGGCGGCCAGGUAGGUCGGUUGUGAAAACUAGAGGCUUAACCUCUAGACGUCGACCGAAACCAUCUGGCUAGAGUCCGGAAGAGGAGAGUGGAAUUCCGUGGUGUAGCGGUGAAAUGCGCAGAGUAUCAGGAAGAACACCCGUGGCGAAAGCGGCUCUCGUAGGACGGUACUGACGCUGAGACGCGAAGCGUGGGGAGCG